rnacentral:rRNA from 1 species
AAUUUUUCACAAGGGGGGAAACCCUGAUCCAUCCAUGCCGCGUGUAUGAUGAAGGCAUUCGGGCUGUAACUUACUUUUGGCAGAGAAGAAAAGGUACCUCCUAAUAUGAGGUACUGCUGACGGUAUCCGCAGAAUAAGCACCGGCUAACUACGUGCCAGCAGCCGCGGUAAUACGCAGGGUGCAACCGUUAAUCGGAAUUAAUGGGCGUAAAGCGUGUGUAGGCGGUUCGGAAAGAAAGAUGUGAAAUCCCAGGGCUCAACCUUGGAACUGCAUUUUUAACUGCCGAGCUAGAGUAUGUCAGAGGGGGGUAGAAUUCCACGUGUAGCAGUGAAAUGCGUAGAUAUGUGGAGGAAUACCGAUGGCGAAGGCAGCCCCCUGGGAUAAUACUGACGCUCAGACACGAAAGCGUGGGGAGCAAACAG